UUGAGGGGAGAUGGAACCCUGAGCAGCCCAUGUACAUGGAAGAUCUUUAUUGCAGAGAUCUUCAAACCAGGAAACUGAGGCUAAAGAGUUUAGUAUUCUGCCAAGGCCAGCUAAUAGUUACAGAGCAUGGUUCCAAAUUCAGAGCUGUCGGAAGCUUAAGCCCAUGUGAUGAACCACGAAUGUGAUUUUACCUCAUUUAAGCCUUGCAGCAAACUCUGCCAAGCUGUCUCUACCAGGCCAGAAUUUGGGGCAGGCAAGAUUUUCAGCAUCCCUAAAAUCACACUAAGAAGAUAAACAUGGAAACAGCUUGGAGCUGCCCUACCCAUAGUGAGGUGGUACUGACUGGAAGACAGCUUAAACGAUUUGGAGAAAAGUGGAAUACAUUAAUCUCAGAAAACUCUACCACCUGUAGAAAGAGAGCUAAAAUGGAGACAACCACAGGCAGUCUAAGAUACGCUGAACUACUACAGAAAAUAAUGCAGCAUGAAGGAAUGCUGGAAGGAUCUUCUAAGGGUGUGAGGAUACAGGCGUCAAAGACCCCGUGCUGAGACAGCUCCAUAACAACAUGCAGAUAUUUGGCAAUGAGGGUUCAGAAGAGGACUUGCUGUGGAGAAGAGAGAAAAGAGAUGGGAAGACUCUGUGAAUGAAUAGAGAACACUCUGCAAGCAUCCCAGUUCCUUUGGUUGCCCUGCAGUCUGCAGGUACCAGGAGAAAUCAAAAGCCGCCUGGAAGGGCUUUCUGUCUGUAUGGAGUCAAGGCAGUGUCUUCAAAUCUGUGCUUUCUAAAACAAAGAAAUAACCUUGAUGAAACAAAUUUUCCCCAGAGGAAGGGGAGAGCCCACAGUGAGCUGGUAAAGAAGAUGCCUGGAGCAGGCAGCAUCCUCAAAUGGAAGAGAUGGUGUCUUGCUAUGUUGCCCAAGCUGGUCUUAAAUUCCUGGCAUCAAGUGAUCCUCCUGCCUCAGCCUCCCAAAGUACUGGGAUUACAGAACAAAACAAUCAGCAGGCGGGUCUGCGGCAUUCUAAGAACAGACACUGGCAGGAACAAAGGUUACAGAAGUGAAUGACUCUAAGAAUCAAGCAAGACAUGGAGUGGCAGAAAAUUAAAUUCUGAAUCCCUAAAAGACAUGAUGCAAAGAUGACCUCCUCUCCCAAGGACAUGUCCUCAUCCUGCGCUGACCGUGUGUGGUCAUUUCAGAAAAAGCGAACAAUGGAGAACCUGCUUGAAUGAUACUUAGACCUGGGACAACUGAAAGGAGUUGCACUUAUACAAUUCGGUGCAGUGGAGUCCCCUGGGAGGAGCCCCAGUCACACGGGAAGAGACAGUCACAGCUGUAAUAAAUGAUGGCUAGCAUGUAUCAAGCACUGGCCGAGUCCUCAGCAUACAUUACAUUACAGAAUUCAGUGUGCACCUCAACACUCUGGGGGUGUAUUUUAUAGGAGAACUGUGGCACAAAGAGGGUAAGUGUCUUACUAACAGUGUGGCUCAUCUGCCAAGCAGGGGUAAUCUGACCCCAUGAGGUUGCCACAAGUAUUCAAUUAGUUUUAUUUUACAGUUAGAACAGUGGCUGGCUGAAGAAGUAAAAUAUACAAGUAUUUGUUAUGCAAAAACAAAUAAGUCAUAAAUCUCCAUCUUAUAGGUAAGAAAAUGCAUUCUGGUUUUUGUUCUGUUGCUGACAAACUAUGGGACUUCAGGCAAGGCUGUGAAACUCUUGGGUCUUGAUUGCCUCCUAAAAACCUCAGCGUUUGUACUCAAUGAUUAUUUGGAUCCUUUUUC
rnacentral:lncRNA from 1 species